AAAACCGACGGUACGUCUUCGCACGGUGCCGUGCUCUCUCGUAUCCUCUUCUGUCUUCUCCAACGGUCCAAAGCGGCACGCGGCGUCCGCCGAGAUCCGCGAGGGCGCGGCCCGCGGCCGGAGAGGGUCUGGGCGUGUUCCGGCUACAGGCGAGCGGCGCGUGGGGGUAUCGGGUGGUGGGGCGGAUGCGCACGGACACGCACCCUGGGUGGUGAGGCGGAUGCGCGCGAACGCGCACCUCGACGACGACGACCGCAGGCGCUCUUCGACUCGGCGCCGGCAAGAUCGACGGGAUCAAGAGCCUCCUCACCGCCCUCGUCGAAAGCAGGUGGUCAAGAGAAAACGUGGCGGCGCGGUGGCCGGAGAUGAAGAAGCUCGUCUUGCUUCGCGGCUAACUACUAGGAUGCAUAGUAAGAAAAUACGUAAUGAAUCUGACUAGAGAUGUUAGAGGAUAAGUGGCUGAUAUGAUUGAUACAACAGGAACUAUUGCCAAAGGAGCUAAGCUGCUGCUGCAUCAAGGAGCAAGAGAAGUUUAUGCAUGCUGUUUUUGGCCAUCGAGAGAUUAUAAAUUGGGUUGUUUCAAGAAGUAAUCAUGACGAAAUCACGAACACUAUCCCGUCAAAGACGCAUUGAAGACUUUGCUGAGCGAGGCAAGC